CACAACCAUGUGCACACCUAGGCUCCCUGGAAAGGAGCAAUGAAAUAGAGGGUGUGCCAUCUGAAACAAAUGUGGGAAACCAAGAAAAGUAUAUAAAGGAAAAAAGGCUAGGCCUGAAGAAGGGUUUGUGUGCUUGAAAACCAGUCUGCUUUCUCAAGUGCAUCAGGCAAUGUAAUAAAAGAUGCUG